CCCUUGUAUCCUGUAGGAUACGUUAGUUCGCACACUCCUGAAAGGCUAGAGGCUUGAGUGGUUACAGCCUGUUUACAUAGUAUGCUAGUUCGUACUCUCCCAAAAUUCCAGUAGAUCGUGGUUAAAGUCAAGUGCUUCUUUGUUUGCAUACCGAAACACCAGUUGAGACUUGAUGAAGGGUACAACAGGAAUGAUUUUAUUAUGUCCAGAUGGCCCACUUUUAUACAAAGACCCCCAGCAUGGGGUCUCCAGCAAAAACAUAGUAAAACACGCCCAGGAGUCUUUGUGUCUGAGAGAUAAUUGAUUGUACUUUGCUUAAACUAAUUAUCUCCCCCGCACUAGAGGUAC